rnacentral:rRNA from 1 species
UACGUAGGGGGCUAGCGUUGUCCGGAUUUAUUGGGCGUAAAGAGCGUGUAGGCGGCCAGGUAGGUCUGGUGUGAAAACUCGAGGCUUAACCUCGAGAUGUCAUCGGAAACCAUCUGGCUAGAGUCCGGAAGAGGAGAGUGGAAUUCCUGGUGUAGCGGUGAAAUGCGCAGAUAUCAGGAAGAACACCAAUGGCGAAAGCGGCUCACUGGACCACAACUGACGCUGAGGCGCGAAAGCUAGGGGAGCAAACAGG